GGGUGGAGUGUGGACAAGCGGCCUUUGCAUCCUUCGCCGCUGGUUGGAAAUGCAGUUUUGGACCCCCUCCUCCCCCGCCAGGGCUCCCACCCAACCGGAAUCUGCAUUUUAACCGGACACCCAGGCGAUUCCUGUGCACAUUAAGUGUGAGACGACCUGGAAAGAAAAUGAAGUGGUUGAAAACAAAGUUAGAGCUGAAGAGUUAAGUUUCUGGUGCCUGCGUUGGAGAGUUUUGCUGAUUGAUCCUGUCAUUUUUAAACAAUAUAUGCUACCAAAAAAGAAAGUCUUCUAAGCCCCAGGGUCCAGUGCUGAUAAAGAGACUGAGCCUCAGAGACCCUAAAUGAUGCUUCAAGGCCCCAAGGUGAGAGGCCACGUGGCAAAUGCAAAGUGCCUAGAGUGUAAAGUAGCAGAAGGCUGCCUUAAAACCCCAGCUUCCCCACGUACACUGUGAGCCUGGCCAAGUUCCCUGAGAUCUCUGAACCUCAGUUCCUCGUUCGUUACAUGACGGAAAUCGUGUUGACCUCAUAGGGUUUACUGUGAGAAUUGAAUGAGAGACGGGGUUUCACUACGUUGCCCAGGUUGGUCUGGAACUCCAGGACUCACUCAAUCUUCUAGCCUCGGCCUCCCAAGGUGCUGGGAUUACAGGCGUGAGCCACCGUGCCUACUCGAAUGAGGUAAUUCUUGACAAAAUAAAUGUGUGGCUAGUACAUCUUAACAUGCUUUUCUUGCUGUACUUGUCUCUGUAGCAAGUGCUGGCUGUGCAUUAGCUUUCUUGUCCCCUUCACCCCUUUGGUAGUGGAGCCUGGAGAGAAUUUACUUGGGAACUCAAGUGUGCCAGCAAAGGAGACACAAUUGAUGAGGGUACUAAGCACACUGUUUGGGUGAUGAUGUUUUUCAAAACAAUAUCAUUAGAUCUUCACAUACAGAGCUGGGAGAUAACAUAGUCCCUAUGACAGAUGUUAGACUAGGACCCCAAAUGACCUCGUAUGGUGUGCCAGUGUCUUCUUCAUUUGCUCCAAGGACACAGCAUGAAUAGAAUAGGCUUUGCCAUCAGCAAGGGCCCUCUCCUAGUUUUUCCCUAGCAUUUCAGAUGCUUGGCACCUGUAACCGGAUUUUCCCUGCACUGAGAGUCAGUGUGUCUUGAUGAAAUGAGCACUGGUUUGGAGUCAGAAGACCUGGGCUGGUAUCAUGCCCCUGCAGCUUAGUUGACAUGUGUUUGGAUGAGUCACUUCUCUGAACAUAUCUUUAUCAUCUAUAAAAUAGGCAUCCUAAUAAUAUUUCCUAAACACUUAUUCUGACAAGGUUUUAUGAGGACCAGAAGAAAUAAGGAAAGGCAAAGCUUUGUAAAUCGGAGAUGCCUCACCAGCACUAUCAUUCCUGUGACUUCCGAUCACCAAGGAGAAGGGACCAGCUUUUAGCACACAGAGCCUGGGAUGGUAGAAUGCCAGACAUUUCACAGUCCAUUGGGGGUGAUCUAUGGCAGAUGGUGUUCCUAGCACCUUUUUCAAAUUGG
rnacentral:lncRNA from 1 species